UCGUCUGGAACACACACAUUAUUUGACCCGCGCGCGCACCGUUGACUUGGUAACGGUGGUAACGAUUGCAGAUGACAUCAACCUCAGGGUGUGGGCUCGAUCCCGGGACAAAAAGAGGACCACAGAUCGGCAGGCCAGGACACUGGCGCCAAUAGAAAGGAUCGAGACGUGUUCCACUGGGCCACCAGGAUGCGUUGUUCGUGACCGGCAGUGCGGGAGAGGACUCACCGAACAAAGCGGCGUGUAUGAUGUCGGCAGACUGGAAUACCGCGCCAUCCGAGAACUUGUUAGACGACGGGUUUUAUUUCGCUCUUUGCUAAUUGUAUGUGUAUUGCUCCCAUUUGCUUCAAUGAAUUUCGACAACAUAUAAUGAUGACGUCUAUAUGAGCCCCGUUCUGUGAAAAGCAGGGUUCAUUCACGUGCGUAAAUUGUCGUCCCAGAUUAGCCUGUGCAGUCCGCACAAGCUAAUCAGGAACGACAAUUUCCACGUUUGUUGAUUUUUUUCGUUAAAAUAAAGUCUCUUUUAAACGAAAUUUCAGUGUGGAAACUGUCGUCCCUGAUUAACCUCUGCGGACUGCACACUCUACGCAAUGCGUUAAGCCCAGUCUUUCCCAGAACGCGGCUCAUAUAAAUAAUCCAUUAAUUACAGUUUUGUUUUCAAAUAUUUUUUAUUGAGUUUCUUGUAUGUAAUUAUUCUUUCUACACUUAAAGCGUCCAUAUUUUGGUAAAAUGUUGCAUUCCCCGUGAAAAUUAUUCGAUACUUAAGAUACGUUCAUGAUUAAUUUGAUUACAAAACAGUCCAAUUAAGUAAACUUUUCAAAAAAUAACAAAAUAUCGUGCGUCAUACUUGCAAGCGUUAUAUUCAUCAGUAGGUGGCCUGCAAUGCAAACAUGAGGUUUUACGAAGCAGACAACAGAUCAGUGGUCAUAGAAAUUUACGAUAAGUUUUACUUGUUUGACCUUGAAAAGAUGGACGUCAGCAUCGUGUUUCCGGGUCGAGUAGUCGAUACACGAGUGUGUAUCUUGACCAAACGGAAGCGCACGUACAAUUCUAAUUUACAUUUUACAAUUCAUGUGUGGAGGUGGCAGUAUUCACAACAUAGUUAUUAAAUAUUCCGUAUUGGUGUGUCAUUACUAUUCCGCGUCACUAAGAAAUCAAAUUCAUGAUUUAAAGAUUUUGCUAACUGAACGAUUUGGGUCAGAACGUGUUAGAAACCGUUCCGCCCACUGUAUCUCUGUCAAUGACGUCAUUCUUCCAUUGUAGAACUCCUCGUGGCGUCACGUUUUGGCAAGAACGUGAAACGGUACAACAUCACAAACGGCUGCAUUGACGCCAUAAUAAAAACUGGACACAAGAAGGAGAUCUACCAAGUUGUGGUGAACGAUCCGGGAACGCUCGCUGCAGUGACGGUAGUUUUUGGACCUGUAGUGUUGAUGGACCUUGUCGCUCACUCUCGCAUGUAUGAGAUCUCAAACAGUACGUUCAGGAGAUGCGAAAGUAUCUUUUCCUCUCAAAAUUAAACAUACGUUGGAAUU